UGGGGAAUCUUGGACAAUGGGGGCAACCCUGAUCCAGCCAUGCCGCGUGAGUGAUGAAGGCCUUAGGGUCGUAAAGCUCUUUCGCCUGUGAAGAUAAUGACGGUAGCAGGUAAAGAAACCCCGGCUAACUCCGUGCCAGCAGCCGCGGUAAUACGGAGGGGGUUAGCGUUGUUCGGAAUUACUGGGCGUAAAGCGCACGUAGGCGGACCAGAAAGUUGGGGGAUGAAAUCCCGGGGGCUCAACCCCGGAACUGCCUCCAAAACUAUUGGUCUAGAGUUCGAGAGAGGUGAGUGGAAUUCCAAGUGUAGAGGUGAAAUUCGUAGAUAUUUGGAGGAACACCAGUGGCGAAGGCGGCUCACUGGCUCGAUACUGACGCUGAGGUGCGAAAGUGUGGGGAGCAAACAGGAUUAGAUACCCUGGGUAGUCCACACCGUAAAACGAUGAAUGCCAGUCGUCGGGUAGCAUGCUAUUCGGUGACACACC
rnacentral:rRNA from 1 species